GACGAACGCUGGCGGCGUGCUUAACACAUGCAAGUCGAACGGAAAGGCCCUGCUUUUGUUGGGUGCUCGAGUGGCGAACGGGUGAGUAACACGUGAGUAACCUGCCCUUGACUUUGGGAUAACUUCAGGAAACUGGGGCUAAUACCGGAUAGGAUCUUCUGCUUCAUGGUGGUGGUUGGAAAGUUUCGGCGGUUGGGGAUGUACUCGCGGCUUAUCCGCUUGUUGGUGGGGUAGUGGGUUACCAAGGCUUUGACGGGUAGACGGCCUGAGAGGGUGAGCGGCCACAUGGGGACUGAGAUACGGCCCAGACUCCUACGGGAGGCAGCAGUGGGGAAUAUUGCACAAUGGGCGGAAGCCUGAUGAAGCAACGCCGCGUGCGGGAUGACGGCCUUUGGGUUGUAAACCGCUUUCGCCUGUGAUGAAGCGUGAGUGACGGUAAUGGGUAAAGAAGCACCGGCUAACUACGUG
rnacentral:rRNA from 1 species